ACUCAAGUUCAAUUGCCUAGUGUUAAUUGUGAAAUUGGCCUUUGUAUAGUAUGCAUAGAAGGUUUUCAAAGAAAUAUUGAUAAUCAUGGCAAAAAAAUGCCUUGUGGUCAUGUUUUUCAUGCAAAUUGCCUUACCAAAUGGCUCUCCAUUAGUAAUUCUUGCCCCCUUUGCCGUUACAAAGUCUCCCCCACUUGACGCAGUGAAUUCAGAAUCUAAAUUUGAUCGGCCUCGACUUUCAAGGUUUAUAUAUGUUUCAUGAUGAAAAUUGAAAACAUUGAAACCGAAGACGAAGAGCUACAUCCACCACACAUCUCUAUUACAAAUUGACACAAAGGUUCGUUGAGGUAACUCAUACGACGGUCGUAGAAGACUGCGGGUAUAAGAGAAGACGGACGACGAAGAUGGCCCAAUUAUAUUACACAUAAUUUAAUUUAAUUUGGGUCUUCCUCAAACUGGUCACAAUUUUCUUAUCCUAUUAGUUUUGUUCUCUUUUACAAAAUUCUUAUGUUUAACGUGUAAUACACUGAGUUAGAGUAAUUUUGUCAUUUUAAAAAUA